rnacentral:misc_RNA from 1 species
GAUGUGAUGAUGGCUUGGAAUCGCUGUAAUCGUAAUAUAAUUAAUGCAACUGACGAAGCCAGCGAGAUUCAAUGAUUCACAAAAGUUUAAAUUUCUUGACCCAUCUAUAAAAUCCAGUCUAUUCUGACAUUAUAAUUGGUUUUAACCAGCGCAAAAAUUAAGUCGUACUGUAGUCUUAACGCAAUCCACGGGCAAAUUUGAAAAAACUGAUGUCAGAUUUCAUCUGAGACAAUAUUUAUCUGACCCAUUCAAAUUUCCGGGAAGAAUGAUAUAAUAGUUAGUUUAAAUCGUUGUAUAAAUGAAGUUCAAAGUUUUUAUGGUUUACGUACAACCGUUGGGAAAUAUAUAUCUAUAUAUGAUAUAUAGGUAUGCUGGGAAAUUUUACUGGAAAAAAUACUGGAAAGUUUUCAAUUUCAAUUUCAAUUUGUAAGGGUCCAAAGACGGGUCCAUAAUUCAGCAAUGUCAAUAAUAUAAACUAAAAAAGUUUUCAGUAUUUUCAGUCAAGCAAUUAAUUUAGAGUUUAAGGGUUUAUGUAAGGAGCAAAAGCAUUCCCAAAAUGCUAAAUACAUAUGUUUAACACUAAACUUAAUGACAUUGAGGCCUAGUUCAUACGUCGCAUUUUGGUCGCGUCGAAAUUCGAAUGCAUUCAAACAUAGAUAAUGAGAUGGUAAAGAAGCUAAAUGAGGUUUACCAUCUCAUUAAUAUCUAUUGUUUGAAUUGCAUUCGACGCGACCAAAAUGCGACGUAACUAGGCCUGACUGUUGUCAUGCUUCUGUCUUGUGAUUUGUAUUGAAUAUCAUGUCGCAACAAUAUGUUGGAUGAUGUAAAGGAAUACAGCUUCAAAGUUUUGGUCGUCGGUGAUGUAUCAGUAGGAAAGACUUCGAUUAUUCGUCGAUAUACGCAAGGCCGAUUUAUUUCAGGUUACCGACCGACCUUGGGGGCUGAUUUUGCAUUGAGAGUGAUCGAUUGGGAUUCUAAAUCAAAAAUACAUCUUCAACUUUGGGAUGUCGCUGGUCACGAGAGGUAUGGCCACAUGACCAGAGUGUAUUAUAAAUAUGCUAUGGCAGCAUUCAUUGUUUACGACUUGUCCAGGCCCGACACUUGGAGUGCUGUUCUAAAGUGGCGCAAUAAUUUAAUGGAGAACAUUGUAACUGAAGAUGAAGAACCAAUACCGAUAGUUUUGUUAGCAAAUAAGUGCGACAUGAAUGGUGUGGGUUAUGAUAAAAAUGGUUUGAAUUUAUUUUGCAACGAGCACGGUUUUAAAGGAUGGUUACCAGUCUCAGCAAAAACGAACAAAAAUAUAGAUGCAGCAAUAAAUCUUUGUUUGUCGGCAAUUCUUUCAAAACGACCUGAUAGUGAAGCCAUUAGGCCUGGAACACCAUGGUACAGAGCUGAAAGUCCUGGAAACGUUUCACCUGUCCAAGUCGUCCCAGUCCAUGAGGAGAGUCGUAAUAAGUGCUGCUGAAAAGAUCACAAUAAGCAUCGGGAAUCAUGGAAAUUGUUUCUUAGAUUUUCCUUGGAAGCUGGAUGUCAGUUUUCAAGUUCUCUUCUCAAUGAAAUUGAUCCAGGAUG